GGGACGACACACGGCCGCAGCCCCCGGUCCCCCGCUGCAGCCGCCGGGACGGCCCCUGGGAGGAGCCGGGGCCGCGGAGCGAUUCAACCGGGCCGCCGCCGCGAGACAUCACUGUCACUACAGGGAGCCUGCCAGCGCUGCUGAGUAUGCGGGAUGUCUUACAUGGCUGAAUUCAAACUCCAGCCAGUCACCUCUGCUGGCUUUUGAAUCCCUGUAACACAAACCCUUGGAAGACAGCAUGCGAAAGAGGAUUAAUUGCAUGGCUCCUUACACUCAUGGUGGCUGUCUCUUAAAACUAAGUGCUUUGGGAAAGGCACGCAGCUAUCACCCACAGUAAAAUGGUUUGUGUGGUUCGUAUGUCAGAAAGCAGAGAGCUCGAACAAAUUUUACAGUGCUGGGCUCUGUUCUGGCAAAAUUGACCAAGAACAACCUUGAUGAAGGGCCUGGUGCUAAGGAGUUGCGAGUUGUCUCCCAUGAGGAAGCCUUGUUGGCACUUCAGAACAGUCACAUCCUCUGCAAGGGAGUGCAGAAUGUGCAGGGGAGAGAGAAUUCCUAAGAGAAGCCCAGUCUCCCUAAGGCAAUGAUGAAGGAAAGACCAAAAGCAAUGAAGAAACUGUGGUAAUGCAACUCAUGCUGGUAUGUUCACUAUUUUGCAUAUGUCAGUCUUGUAGAAGGUAAAAAGCAGUUUUAACUUUCUGUUUCAGUUAACCAGCUGCCCUGAAGAAACCUUCCGCAGAUCCCCAAAGUGCCCAGAGUAUUGAAAGUGUGCACAGUCAACUGCUGGUUAGCGGAACUACAACUGACCCAUUUCGAUGAAGGGGACCAGAGGAGAGUGUGCCAGAGAAACUCAAGGUGACAGCCAGUGCCCUAGCUUAUUCAGACCAAAGAAGUGCAGGAACAAAUAGUUCCAGCACGGUUAUCCUCACAAAGGGAAGUGGGGAGCAGUGGAGAGGGUGCGUGGUGAGAAGGAAAGACAUUUGAGUUUUCCCUUUUGUCACCUCAACUCACUAACACCUUAUGUAACUUUUCUUUUUUUUUUUUUUUUUUUUAACUGGGACACUGAAAAAGUUUCCUCACUGUAGAACUGUUGGAAUAAAAAUAGUUGUGACCAUUUUGGAAUAUUUUUGUUUUUAGCUGAAGAAAUUUGUAUACAAAAAAGUCUAGGAGAGCAAGUUAAAGCCUUUUUAACAUAGAGCGUCCUGUAAGCUGGCUGGGCUUAAACCACAACACAGAGUCAGGCAAUUUCUUUUUCCUGAUGUAAUAAAAGGUGCGACUAAACCCCUGUGAUACCACAAUUGACUCCUGCAGGCUGAAGUUAUUACUAAGAAUAUAUAUUCAGCUUGAGCUUGUGCUGAGAGUCUGAUCUGGGAGACCAUCGCAGGGUGAAACUGCACAAGUUUGUUGCUAACCUGAAGACACAAACAGAAGGAGCCUGGAGGACUCAAACACAGCAGCAUCUGACCUCACUUCACUGAGAUUAGUGUCUGUGUCCUUUACCUCCUGUUUGCAAUGGGCAAGGCGUGCGUGUGUUGGCAGCUGACAUGCCUCAGCUGGCAGGUGGUCACUCAUCAAGGAGCAGUAACUCCUCUGCAUGUCAGUCUAACUCCAGCUUAAUUUUUUUCCUUGAAAGCUUUUUUCCUCCCUACCAUUUGCACAGCAGGCUCCUGGAAAUGAUCUGAACUGCAUGCACGGAACAGGGAGAGAGUCAGGCUUUAGCUUGGUGAACUCCUGAACCAUCUGGGAGAGGGGCUGCCUGGCUUUGUGGGUGUCCCUGGCUGCUGACCUUUCCUCCCCAGGUUCCCAAAGGUCUGUCAAUUCUAUGAAAUCUAUCUUGCUACA